GAUGAACGCUGGCGGCGUGCCUAAUACAUGCAAGUCGAGCGAACAGACGAGGAGCUUGCUCCUCUGACGUUAGCGGCGGACGGGUGAGUAACACGUGGAUAACCUACCUAUAAGACUGGGAUAACUUCGGGAAACCGGAGCUAAUACCGGAUAAUAUAUUGAACCGCAUGGUUCAAUAGUGAAAGACGGUUUUGCUGUCAUUUAUAGAUGGAUCCGCGCCGCAUUAGCUAGUUGGUAAGGUAACGGCUUACCAAGGCAACGAUGCGUAGCCGACCUGAGAGGGUGAUCGGCCACACUGGAGCGGAGACAGGGACCAGACGCCUGCGGGAGGCAGCAGUAGGGAAUCUGACGCAGUGGUCGAAAGCAUGACGGAGCAACGCGGCGUGAGUUAUGAAGGUCUUGGGAUCGUAAAACUCGGUUAUUAGGUAAGAACAAAUGUGUAAGUAACUAUGCACGUCGUGACGGUACCGAAUCAGAAAGCCACGGCUAACUACGUG
rnacentral:rRNA from 1 species